UGGAUCAAUGAUGACCAUUGGUGGCAUAUGAGUCAUGUACAAUGAAUACUUUCUGGAACUCUGAGGUCCGA